CUCAGGAUGAACGCUAGCUACAGGCUUAACACAUGCAAGUCGAGGGGCAGCAUGAUCUAGCUUGCUAGAAUGAUGGCGACCGGCGCACGGGUGAGUAACGCGUAUCCAACCUUCCCUAUAGUAGAGGAUAGCCCGGCGAAAGUCGGAUUAAUACUCUAUGUUUUCCAAUGCAGACAUCUAAAAUGGAACAAAGGUUUACCGCUAUAGGAUGGGGAUGCGUCUGAUUAGAUGGUAGGCGGGGUAACGGCCCACCUAGUCGACGAUCAGUAGGGGUUCUGAGAGGAAGGUCCCCCACAUUGGAACUGAGACACGGUCCAAACUCCUACGGGAGGCAGCAGUGAGGAAUAUUGGUCAAUGGGCGAGAGCCUGAACCAGCCAAAGUAGCGUGCAGGAUGACGGCCCUAUGGGUUGUAAACUGCUUUUAUACGGGGAUAAAGUGAGGGACGUGUCCCUUUUUGUAGGUACCGUAUGAAUAAGGACCGGCUAAUUCCGUGCCAGCCGCGGC
rnacentral:rRNA from 1 species